rnacentral:sRNA from 1 species
GCAGGGCAUGGUGGUGCAUGCCUGUAAUCCUAGUUAUUCAGGAGGCUGAGGCAGGAGAAACACAAGUUCAAGGCCAGCCUCAGCAACUUCACCAAGACCCUGUCUCAA